ensembl:lncRNA
CUUUGGUGGUCAAGAAGGCCAAUGGUGGCCUGGGAAGGAGGACCAUGAGCCAACAGUGUGCUUUGGUAGCCAAGAAGGCCAAUGGUGGCCUGGGCAGGAGGACCAUGAGACAGCAGUGUGCUUUGGUGGCCAAGAAGGCCAAUGGUGGCCUGGGGUGCAUUGGAAGAGGGGUGGGUGGGAGGUCCAGAGAGGUUCUCCUGCCCCUCUGCCCUGCCCUGGGGAGGCCACCUCUGGAUUCCUGUGUCCACAUGGGGGUCCCUCCGU